GACGAACGCUGGCGGCGUGCUUAACACAUGCAAGUCGAAAGAUGAAGCCGGAGCUUGCUCUGGUGAAUUAGUGGCGAACGGGUGAGUAACACGUGAGUAACCUGCCCUUGACUCUGGGAUAACUGCUAGAAAUGGUAGCUAAUACCGGAUACGACCCUCGGCGGCAUCGCCAGGGGGUGGAAAGAAUUUCGGUCAAGGAUGGACUCGCGGCCUAUCAGCUAGUUGGUGAGGUAACGGCUCACCAAGGCGACGACGGGUAGCCGGCCUGAGAGGGUGACCGGCCACACUGGGACUGAGACACGGCCCAGACUCCUACGGGAGGCAGCAGUGGGGAAUAUUGCACAAUGGGCGCAAGCCUGAUGCAGCAGCGCCGCGUGAGGGAUGACGGCCUUCGGGUUGUAACCCUCUUUUAGUAGGGAAGAAGCGAAAGUGACGGUACCUGCAGAAGAAGCACCGGCCAACUACGUGCCAGCAGCCGCCGUAA
rnacentral:rRNA from 1 species